AUGGAACGCUGGCGGUGCGUCUAACACAUGCAAGUCGACUGGGCAAUGCUCAGGGCGUCCGGGUGAGUAAUAGACAGGAAGACUACCCAAAGGAAAAACCAAGGGAGAGAGUCCCCCGAAUGUUUGGAAAGGAAGCAUCCGCCUUUGGAGGGUCCUGUUUCGGAUUAGGUCGUAGGUGGUUUGUGCCCAUCCUAGCCGAUGAUCCGUCGCUGGUAUGAGAGUAUGAUCAGCCACACUGGAACUGAAAAGGGUUCAGACCUGAAAUCAGGGCAGCAGUGAAGAAUCUUGCACACUGGGGGAAACCCUGAUGCAGCGACACCGCGUGAAGGAGGUUGACAGCGCACUGUUGUAAACUUCAAGACUUUCUCCUAUGAUGAAGGAAAAAAAGAGAAGCCCCGGCAAACUUCGUGCCAGCCGCCGCCGUAACAC
rnacentral:rRNA from 1 species